AAAUGUGGAAAGUAAGACUAGCCACACAUGCGAAGUAAUUAUCACAUGAUAAAAAUGACUGUCCAGCUAUAGAAAGAGCCAACCAGCUUUAAAGCUACUGCUUCAAAAUGUGUAACAGCUCUAUAUCUGGUUUCUACCCAGUUUUAAUAUGAACUU